UACGGAGGGGGGCUAGCGUUGUUCGGAAUUACUGGGCGUAAAGCGCACGUAGGCGGCUUUGUAAGUUAGAGGUGAAAGCCCAGGGCUUAACCCUGGAAUUGCCUUUAAGACUGCAUCGCUAGAAUUGUGGAGAGGUAAGUGGAAUUCCGAGUGUAGAGGUGAAAUUCGUAGAUAUUCGGAAGAACACCAGUGGCGAAGGCGACUUACUGGACACAUAUUGACGCUGAGGUGGCGAAAAGCGUGGGGGAGCAAACAGG
rnacentral:rRNA from 1 species